rnacentral:rRNA from 1 species
AUUGAACGCUAGCGGGAUGCUUUACACAUGACAGUCGAACGAGUGGCGGACGGGUGAGUAAUAUAUCGGAACGUGCACAGUAGCGGGGGAUAACUACUAGAAAGAGUGGCUAAUACCGCAUACUAUUGGGACGGCAGCUAGCGGAUUAGCUAGUUGGUGGGGUAAAGUCGAACAAAGGCAAAGAUACGUAGCUGGUUUUAGAGGAAGACCAGCCACACUGGGACUGCGACACGGCCACGACUCCUACGGGAGUCAGCAGUGGGGAAUUUUGGACAAUGGGGUAACCCCUGAUCCAGCCAUCCCGCGUGUAUGAGAAGUCCUUCGUGUUGUAAAGUACUUUUGGCAGAGAAGCGGUAUCUGCAUAAUAAGCACCGGCUAACUACGUGCCAGCAGCCGCGGUAAUUC